UACGGAGGAUCCGAGCGUUAUCCGGAUUUAUUGGGUUUAAAGGGUGCGUAGGCGGCCAAUUAAGUCAGGGGUGAAAUACGGUGGCUCAACCAUCGCAGUGCCUUUGAUACUGAUCGGCUUGAAUCCAUUUGAAGUGGGCGGAAUAAGACAAGUAGCGGUGAAAUGCAUAGAUAUGUCUUAGAACUCCGAUUGCGAAGGCAGCUCACUAAGCUGGCAUUGACGCUGAUGCACGAAAGCGUGGGGAUCGAACAGG
rnacentral:rRNA from 1 species